AUGGUAUUCGGGAUGGAUACUAGUGUGCUAGCGCCAACACCUUCUCCCUGGUACAGUAUUGAUAGUCUUGGAGCAAGCUCGCUCUUCCUUGGACAAAACUAUCCAAUGAUGGUGAAAGGCGAUCCAACUGCUGUUGACACAACGUUACUACCAUUUACAAGAAGCAACUGUAUCUAUACAUCGGACACUGCGUUGGUUACCUACCCUGGUCGUGAUAUAGUAGGUCGCUUCAGCCCGGAUGAUCAGUCCUGCAUUGGUCUCGAGAUUGACAGUAGCUGGCUCUUCCGAGAGAAUCGCUUGUGGUUCAAAGCAAGCGUUUCCAACGCCGAGGAUUGGUUGAGUUGA
rnacentral:rRNA from 1 species